GAUGAACGCUGGCGGUGUGCCUAAUACAUGCAAGUCGAGCGAACAGACGAGGAGCUUGCUCCUUUGACGUUAGCGGCGGACGGGUGAGUAACACGUGGGUAACCUACCUAUAAGACUGGGAUAACUUCGGGAAACCGGAGCUAAUACCGGAUAAUAUUUCGAACCGCAUGGUUCGAUAGUGAAAGAUGGCCUUGCUAUCACUUAUAGAUGGACCUGCGCCGUAUUAGCUAGUUGGUAAGGUAACGGCUUACCAAGGCAACGAUACGUAGCCGACCUGAGAGGGUGAUCGGCCACACUGGAACUGAGACACGGUCCAGACUCCUACGGGAGGCAGCAGUAGGGAAUCUUCCGCAAUGGGCGAAAGCCUGACGGAGCAACGCCGCGUGAGUGAUGAAGGUCUUCGGAUCGUAAAACUCUGUUAUUAGGGAAGAACAAACGUGUAAGUAACUGUGCACGUCUUGACGGUACCUAAUCAGAAAGCCACGGCUAACUACGUG
rnacentral:rRNA from 1 species